rnacentral:rRNA from 1 species
AUUGAACGCUGGCGGGAGGCUUAACACAUGCAAGUCGAACGAGAGGCGGGCGGGUGAGUAAUGCUUGGGAACAUAGCUUGUGGAGGGGUAUAACUACGGGUAACUGAAGCUAAUAACGCGUACCAUAGGAGGAGCCCAAGUGGGAUUAGGUUGUUGGUGCGGUAAAGGCUCACCAAGCCGACGAUCUCUAGCGGGUCUGAGAGGAUGACCAGCCACACUGGGACUGAGACACGGCCCAGACUCCUACGGGAGGCAGCAGUGGGGAAUAUUGCACAAUGGGCGCAAGCCUGAUGCAGCCAUCCCGCGUGUACGAAGAAGGCCUUAGGGUUGUAAAGUACUUUCGGCAGGGAAGCGGUACCCGCAGAAUAAGCACCGGCUAACUCCGUGCCAGCCGCCGCGGUAAUUC